GAGCCGUAGUGGAUAGGGAGGCUGGCCUAGCGUGCUAGUUUUGGAGGUCACAGCUGCGCGGGGCGCGGCUAGUGAGCGAGCGAGCUGUGAGAGGGGGGUCUUCCAGUGGUCGCUACCGUGAGCUCUGGUGCGACCCGUGGGUGUCCGAGAAGAAUCCCACUCCAGACCCCAAAAUCUGCCCCGGCCUAGGUCUGCCUCGAUGACUUUGUCUUGCACUUCUUUCUCUUCAGUUUUUCCUGGGGUCCCUUUGGCCCCUCCUCUGCCUCUUCCCGCUGAGAAAAGCCGAAUUUCGCAGAUUCUCAGCUCUGAGGAGAAAAUUUUGCCGGAAAUUAAAUCCUUCCUUCUGGUAGGCAGUAGGCGAUUAAUGGGAGUCACUUGGUGUCCUGACAAGAUAUGUUACUGUUUGCUGAGAUCGUCAUCUCUGAUACUUUGAGGGAGAUAACUUCUUGCAAACCUAGAACUUUCAGAUUACUACCGAGCUUGAAGUUUCACAGAUUCUACUUUGAAAAGCUUGUCUGAAUAAUUUAUGAACAGUGCUACGAAGUAACAUGCAUCUUGCCCCAGAUCCAAGUGUUGGCUUUUCUUAAUUCCCUUCAGCUGAAUAACUACAUCUGCGUACCACUAGGUUGUAAAAUAGAUGUAUAACUAAAAGAGCUAAACUGAAGAAAAAAAAAAUCAAGCAAAUACCCUCUUUUAGUUAACUUUUAAAUCUAACUCAAGCUCUGAUUAAAUCUAUUUACAUUAUAAUUUCUAUUUUUAGGAUUUUAAUCCUAGUCUUUUCCCUGUUUAAUCCCUAUUUUGAUUUCAAUGAGUAGAAAAUUCUAAGUCCUAGAAUAAUGUCACUGGGAGUUUUACAUCUGUUAGUGAAAGAAGACAGAUAAAGGAGGUCCAAAUCAGGUACCUGGAAACCUUGACUACCAAGGCAUGAAACCUGGGGUCAAGGUUUACCACAUCUAAGCUUGCCAGCGCAGAUGGACAAGUCCAAGUGCCAAGCAAAGAGGAUAAGCUUUCCAUGUGUAAAGUUGUUGUAACUUUGGGUGGAGUUUGCCUUGAAGUCUUAAUCUUGCUGUCUGAGUUAACAAAUACUACCAGAGCGCCUUGCCCAUCACCUUGAUCUAGGUCAAAAGUGUGGGUGGUAUGGAUGGUCAGUAUCGUCAGCUUCUUCACAGUGAACUGUCAAUACAUGAGCAUACGUAUUAGAGGCAGAGAGGUCCUCUUAAAUAUUGUUUGAUGAUGAUGCCAAGUGAAGUGCUUCAAUGAUUAUCAUAGGGAAACAAGCCUAAAAUAAUGCAGCACUGAUAUGAAUUACAGGUAGUCAGUCAUAAUGUGGUGCACUUAAUAACUAACUCAGUUUAGGGAUUAAAUACCACUUCUGAUGCCCCAAGUAGAGGCAUUAAACAGAAAAACACAGAAUAGUGGCAAACGAUACGGAUUUUUUUUUUUUUUUUUGCAGAUGUUCGGACCAUUGUUAAUUUAUUUCUAUUGGUAGGCUAAUGUCUUUGACUACUCUAUGACUAAUUGAAAACAUAAAUCAUAUUUACUUCAAUUUAUAUUGCCUCUCCCCCCAGUAUUCUUUCAUGUUUAUAAUAAGAUGUUUAGUAAUUUAAAAUCAUUUUUUGCUAAUCAAUGCUGUUAUUAUUUUCUAGUUUCUUUUUUCCCUGGUAUACUAUCUCUUAUGCUAGAGGUGUUUCUCUUACUACCUAGUCAGUUUAUCUUCAAGUAAUUAUUAGAUAUUCUGCUUUUUCUUAUUUUCCAUAUACAUUAAGUAUUUAGUUAGUAAAUAUUUGUAAAGUACCCACAUGGUGCCAGGCAAUAGGCCAAGUGCUAGGAAUAUAGUAACAGAUAAGGCAUACAUGGUCCCUGUUCUCAUGGAGCAGCUCAGAUGUUACAAUUUCUAUUUUUAAAUAAGCUUUUCAUUGGUGCUUUGUUAAUCAAGACUGUCAUUUCAUUUCUUAUUUAUUUAUACAAAAAUGAUACUGAAUAUCUGUAGUUUACCCAGCACUCUGUGAUAAUUGAGAACAUAGGUGUCAACAGUUAAAUUAUAGCACUGUGGUUAAAAUAAUGCAAUGGUGGCAUGAACUACGUGCACUGAAAAUAGAAAAGGCAAAUCAACAACUCGAGCUAGAGAAAUGAGGUAGAGCAUCCCAGAGAUGAUAUUCAAGCUGAAUUUUUAAAGAUUUAGUAGAAAGAGAAGAUGGAAGAAGACUUUUGAGGCUGAGGAAAGAGCAUUUGGAAAAAGAUGUGGAAUAAUGACAUGUUUAAUGUGGUAUUCUCUGUGAGAAGUUCACUGUAGUUCAUGUAUAAGGAAUAUAAAGUUCCAUAAAAGGAGUCUUUAAGUGGACUAGAGCCAGUCUGGGAAAGGUGUUGCUCGUGACUGCCUUGGCACGCUGAAGACUCAGUGCACGCAUUCUGUUAACUUAAGGGAUUAAUGAGGAAGGGUGGAAAAUGUUCACAUAACUGUGUUUCACUUCCUGCUAAUUGCUCGCAGACUUCACCGGGUAUUGCUUUCUGAGUAGCUGAAUAUUUCUACAGCCCAUGGCUUUUACCUCUCCGUACAAUAUUUAAAUACUGUUUCAGUUAAAAAGCUUUUCUACAAACUGAAUAAAAUUCGGAAAAACUUGACAUUCUGAAAUUAGAUUUACCUCACUAAAAUAUUGUUGGAAUUUAAAAGGUCAUAUUCAUUUUAUACAACUAAUCCUUUAUUUAGUUCUCCUGUUAUAUUCCUAUUUAUGAUUACUUAUGUUUUUUAUUGGAAAGCAUAAAAAUAUUUUGAAAGUAAAAUGGUAAAAUUAUGAAAUAUUUUUAUCUUAAUUACAAAACAAUACUUAGUUUCUUCAAGCUUUUUCUCUGUUUUUAAAAAUCAACUGUCUCUUUUGAAGAGAUUUUACCACACACAUAGAUUCAAAAGCAAGGGAAAAUAGUUUAAAAUACUGUUGAACUAAAUAAAGCCAAGGAAUCUUAAACCAAUGGUUUAUUUGUAUAGGAGGGAUCGAGUCAAUACUUACCCAUUCUUGAAAAGGAAAAUCUGAAAGUGGAAGAUUUGUAUAAGCCUUUCCUUAAUUUCAAGAAGCAUGUAUUUAGGAUUUACUUUAUGUCAGACUACAUUUUAGUCACUGGAAAUAUAAAAAUGAAUAGUACAGUCCUUUCUCUCAAUGGAAUUGUGAUCCAAUGAAAUGUUAAGUUCAACCCCCUAAAGUUGCAUCAAUUUUUCAGGUCAAAAAUGGUCAAAUAUCAGUUCUGCCUAAAUAUAUAUGUAAAGAGAAAUUUGCAAUAAUAGAGAUAUGAAGAAGGUGCUACGUGCCCUGAAAAAGUGCUUUGUGCUGCCUAGAGGAGUCUGUGUAGAUUUUCCAGAGGAGAUGACAUUUGAGCUGAGUUUCAGAAAAUGACUGGGUGUUCACCAUGUGUUCAUGGGAAGCAAAGAGAGUGAGCACAUUCCAGCAAUAGGAAACAGGAUGUGCAGAGUUUUUGAACCAAGAAAGAGCCUAGCAUAUGUGGGAAACUGCAAGUAUUUCAUAUUGGUUGGAAUGCUGGGUAUGCUGUGGGUGACAGGAGAAGAGGCAGGCAAAGUAAGCAGAGGACAGAUCGUGUGAGGUGGGAUAUAUCAAGCCAAAGAGUUUGAUUUUAUCCUUUGUGAUGAGAUGGGUAUAAUCCACAGUAUGCAAGGCAAUCUGUUAGGGUUCAGAAAGAAAAUAUUACUACUCCUCUGUAUAUUUACCUUUGUCUUGUCUUUUUAAAUUUUCUAAUUGUGUAAGGAUUACAGUGUAUAUAAUUCUUAACUGCAGUAGUGGGUAUAAGUAAUUUAUAAAUAAAUAAAUAUAUGUGUAUUAUGGUGCCGUAUGGGUUGAAUUGCAUCCCUCCACAGAAUUUAUGUUGAAAUGUUAACCUCAGGUGUUUCAGAAUGUGACCCUAACUGAAAACAGAGUCAUUGCAGAUGUAGUUAGUUAACAUGAGGUUGUACUGGAGUAGAGUUGGACCCUAAUCCAGUAUGACAGGUGUCCUUAUAAAAAGGCAAACAUGACAUCAAGAUGAAGGUAGACAUUGAGGUAAUGCUCCUCUAAGCCAGGGAACUCCAAGAUUGCCAGUCUUCUGUUAGGAGCUAGAGGAGAAGCAUGGGACAGAUCCCUCUCUUACAGCCCUCAGAGGGAACUAUCCAUGCUGACACCUUGAUCUUGGACUCCCAGUCUCCCAAACUGUGAGACAUAAUACUCUGUUGUUUAAGCCACCUAGUUUGUGGUACUUUGUCACAACAGUCCUAGAGAACGAAUGCAUGGUACAUGAUCAGAAAGUUUGGAAACCCUGAUCAGAUGAUAAGGAACAAAGGAAGAGUUGGUUUGUGUUUUAGUCAAAACUAUUUAUCUCCUGUCAUUAUUGAGUCUCAAUAUUCAGUGAUUUACUUUAGCUUAAUUUCUUGCCUUUACAGUACUUUACUUCUUAAAAACAUAGUUUGAAAACAAAUUGUUCACAUUUGUGUAUAGUAUAGUUUGUGUUAAAGGAAGGAGAAAUUAGAAAAUAUUUACCUUUAGCUUAAAACAGACAGGGUGAUAAUAUGUAACACUUUGGGGGGAAAAUUACAUUUAAGAAAGAGUAUUUUUUCUGGGUUUUUUUUUUUUUUUCCUUUUCUUUUUGAAAAAAGAGUAUCACUUAACCCCAUUAGGCAGAAGUGGAACUAAAAUCAGAAACAGAGUCCUAUCAACAGAAGUCAUAGCUGUGAAGAAUUUAAUAGUAUAUCAUCAGUGUAGGGAGGACUGUAGGCAAAAUAUGUAUUAUUCUAGCUACAUAGUUUUCAAGUAUUAAGGGCAACCAGUCCUUUUUAUAGAAGUUAUAUGUUAGUCAUUUGUCUGAGGUUCCAAAACAAAAUGAUCGAGAGAGUUUUCAACGCCAGCAAUGAUAUCCUACCUCAGAUGUAUAUAUUUGAAGCGUAUUUUUAAGUCUGCAAAAUCUACAAGUCAGUAAUACAUUAUUUAAUUAAUAAUAUUAAUAUAAAGUAUAUUUUAUGUAUUAUAUUUGGGGCAUUUUAGAUCUUUGUGGGCCAUGGAAUAGUUGAUAAUUUUUGGCCUUAUUUAUGCAAAUCAAAAGAAGCAUUUUGAAAUAUCACCACUUUAAAAAAAAAAAUCCAUGUGUAUUUGUAAUAGUUCUGCCAUCAACUAGACAAGUAGUUUUCAGACUUUUUAAAGUAAGAGAAUCCUUUCUUCAAAUGAAUUCUUACGUGGAAGCCAAGUAUGUAAUAACUACAUUAGGCAGCUUACUCCAUCAUAGAGGACUAUAUACCCUUGAUGUUUUAAAUCUUUGUUUCUUAUAUCUAGUCUGGAAGUUCUAUAUUUUGUGGAUGUAUAUUCUGUCUUCACUGUGUAAUAUGUUAGCAGAAUGAACAGGAAUUUACACGAUAUGGGAAUAAUAAAUAUCCCACUGACCUGUGAUACUAGGGCCUAUACUUGGAGUUGCUUUCCCACAGUGGAAUUGGAUUUAUAAGAAUCCAUCCAUCAUCUUUAAUGUGGUCCCCUUUGUGACCGACACAGCAGUCUGUGACCUAGAGCUAGCUACUUGGCCAAGAAUGUAAUAUCUACUAUUCUCAUGACUUCUUCCCUUUUUCUGCCCUUACCUCUGUUCUUUUAGCAGUUUCUAUUUUUGCUCUGUUCACUUAACUACACCUUUGCUACCUUUGGACUCUAAUAAACUCAAAAACCGGUUUGUCCAGUUUCAUACGUGGUUAUUUUUUUCCCUCACCUAUGACUUACAGUCAUAUUGCUGUAAAGCUGAUAAAUAUUUGGAACUAUAUAUACUUUUUAUAUGCUUAGAUUAUUAUUAAAAAAAUAGCACUACAUGGGGAGGGGAUAGCAGUGGACUCAGAAUUAAGAGUUUUUGCAUUCAUGGCAUUUAUUAGAUGGCUUGUAUUUCUAAGAUCAAGAUAUGUCAGGUGCCAAUCUGACAGCCCAUACAUCACAAUUUAGAGACUUCUACCUUCCUGAAAUAUACAUUUAAAAGAAUGUAAAUAACAGACUAUUCAGAUAAUUGAUUGUCAGUGAAUCUUUUCAAUAAAAAUAUAAUCAGAGUCUUUAUUCUUUUAGCAAAUAUUUAUUGAGCCCCUACCAUGUGCUAACAGUCAUUAUGGUAAGUUUUAGGUAUACAGUGGCAAACUAAGUGAAUAUGACCCCAGCCUUACAGAAUAGAUGUAUUACACCAAAAAAAUCUGUGUGUGUGUGUGUGUAUAUAUCUAUAUAUAUAUGCUGGUAUGAGUUAUGAAGCAAAUAAACAGUUCUGCAGCAGGAGUAGAAGAAACUUUUAAAUAGAACAGUCAGAAAAGGAAUAGAAAGUGAAAAGAAAAGCAUUCUAGUCAGAGAAUAGCUUGUGCAGAGGCCCUGAGACAGAACAAGGUAGCUGGGCUUAUUCAAGGAACAAAUAGAAUAUUGAGUUUCUUGAGGAAAAGAUUAUUCUUUUUUGUCUAGAACAAUGUACUUUAAAUAAUAAGCACUAUAGAAAUAUUUGUGUAUAACUGAAUGACUAUCUGUAUACCUAGGAUGUAGUGAGUACAAGCUGAGGUUGCAAGGACUAGACUAUGCCAAGCCCUAUUAAAAAAAACCUCUGGGAUGUAAUUUACUUUUUAUAAAGCUCACUCACAAUUAUGUGAGGAAUUGUUUGAUGGAGAUCAAAAAUGGAAGAAGGGAAACCCAGGUUCAUGGUACCGUAGAGGUUGAGAUCAAGAAAUCACUAAAUGACUGUUAGAGCCAGGGUCAGUGGGUUUAACGUCCUGCCCAUUUCACCUCUUGAACAGCUUAGUGAAGUGAAUGUAUCUGAUUUAUAUUUGCACCCCCUAGGACAACCACAGCCCCUCGACCCCCAGACCAAGCCUAGAAAGAAAUUAACCUUUGGCUAAGAAUUCAAUCAAACCCUUUGAAAGUAAUUUCACAGUUUCUCCUGGGUCUUUGUAUUAUUGAGGGAGUGACCGUGUUAAAUGAAGUAACAGGGAAUAUCAAGAAUGUGGAUUAUUCUACAAGAUAACUGAUGACUUGGUCUUGUUAAAAAAAAAAAGUCCAUGCCAUGGGGGAGAAAAAGGAAAAGAAACAUUCUGGUUAUCUGCUGCAGUUAUGCCCACUGAGUGUCUCUUCUGAAGAGGUUUUACCACACAUACAAAAGCAAAAGCAAGGGAAAAUCUUUUUUUAAAAUAUGGUUAUGCUCAGUAAAGCAUGAAACUUACACUAGUGGUUAUUCUUUAGAAGGCUUGCCCCUCUCACACCUCCUUUGGCACUGUUUGUGAGGGAAUAAGCUUCUUUUGUGGAGCUUCUAACCAUAGUUCUAGGCAGAGACCAGCAGAAUUGUACCUAGAGAUUGGCAGAGAAGUGUCUGGGAAGCUACAGAGUGAUCACUUGGUGGAUAAUUCAGAGGAACAUUCAGACGAAACCCCUUUUCACAGCAUAUACUAAAAAUAACCUUGAGUGCAGCUGCAAGGCUGACGGUUGUUUUACAGCAUUGAUGAGCACGUAGGUUCUCAGUGAAUGGGGAUUUGCUACCUCACAGAAUAGCCUUUUCUACUUGAAUUGCCCUAGUUGAUAGAAACUUUUUUUUCACUGAGCUAAACAGUCUCGCUCUUAUUCCUACCCAUUGUAUGUAGUUUUACUCUCAAGAACCUUAAGGCUAAUCCACUUUGUUGGAAUUUUAAGAUUUAAUGUAUUUUGGAAUGGCUGCCUGCAAUGCUUUUAAUCUUUUAAUCUGUUGCAAGAGAACAUGGGACAGUGGCAAGAGUUAAAUUUAUUAGAUGGAGUAUACAAAGUGCCCCAUGUGAAGGCAAGUUUUGUCUUGAUGUGCCAGUCACUACAGCCUUUUUAACGAGACAGCUCAGUCUGCACCUGCACAACUGCCCGAUUUAUUCUCCUGGAUCUUAAAGAAACCCCAGCUCCAGGUGGGCAGGCCUCUGCUGGAGUAAAUACAAUAAUAACCAAAAAUAAUUAAAAGCCAGACACUGCCCUCCCCCAUUCGUAAGCCAUCUACAUAACUGGUAGAAUAGGAUCAAGAUACUCCUUUUGAGUUCUAGGAUACUCAUUCUUUCACUACCUUGCUCUUGAUGACCUGAUGCUUCCCAUUCCUGAGGUAAUGCCAGGUUCUGCAGAAAGGAAUGGCUGUCCCCUCGGCCACGCUCUCCUCUCCGCAUAUUCGGUACCGCACUGUCCUGUGCCCUCUUUCUUCAGUAACUCUUCCUCUACUAGUUUUCCUCUUUCCAGAAAUGUAAUCUCUUCGCCAGGGGUGGCCUCCCUGUCAUUCUCUUCAGGUUGUGGUUCUAUAAAUGUUUUGUUAUUGUUGUUUCAGGGCCUCUUGGGGGAGAAGAGAGAAAUACGCACUGUCGGUCAGCCAACUUGAACCAGAAUAGUAGUUAAAAUCAUUUUGUAAUAUAACUAAAUCAUACCAAUGUUUUUUUUUAACAAUUCAGUUAUUUUUUGUAUAUUCACAAAGUUGUGCAACCAUCACCACAAUCUAAUUGCAGAACAUUUUCAUCACGCCAGAGAAGACACAUACCAUUAGCAGUCACCCUCUAUUUCCUCUACUCUCCUGCCAGCCCUAGUCAAUCAUUAAUCUGCUUUGUCUCUAUAGAUUUUUCAUUACUGCCACUUGUUGAGGGGACAGGUGCAGAUAGGGAGAAAGGUGAUUUCUGAUCUGGAGGUGAGCCUCUGCUUUUGAUCUCUGCUUGAACCAUCCAGAAUUUGAAGUUAAAGCUCCUUGCUUCUUUGAAGAAGAUUAAUUUUCUUCAACCAUCUUUGCUCCAAAAAUAUUCACAGACAAUAUCUAUAAACAUAUACGCACACCCCUCCCUAAAUUUAAUCUUUUUUCCAUAACUUUAAUCUUAUUUCUUGGGAAUGACUAACCCUAGUAUACACACACGUGCACACACCCACUUUGCCCCGAUUUAUAUUUUACAUGCUUCUUGUCUAAUCUGACAAUGAACGACACCAUGCCUCAAACACUUUCCCCUAAUUCCCGAAUUCCUAGGUUUUUCCGAGCAGGCUGCCAUACCUGUAUCUUGCUGAUUUUACAUAAGGUAUCCAAAAUACUAAGUGACAGUGAAAGGUGGGAGACAGUAGAAUAAACCAUGGGGAAUGAUGUGGAAGAAAUACCCACUUUGCCAUGUGUACAGCAGGAAGUGAACUUAGGAGACUACGAGGGGUGGCAGGUCAGUGUGGGAAGGCUCUUCAGUGAGUACUUUUUCCAACCAGGGCAUCUGGGCCUCCCCAGCAACCCCACCCCUCAGGAGUGGUCUUUUGUGAUGUGUAAGCCCCCCACAGCCACCAUUGGUUGUAGGGAGUGCCCUGCUGACCAAACAAAGCAAAAUGGGCGUGACUCCUCACUGUCCUGGGGAGAGGUAUAUAUACCGAAGGCGGGCCUGGCAGACAGGUAGACAACUGAGAGGCUUCAACAUGGCAAAAGUGACCGAGAAAUCAUGGGAGCCACAAACCACAAGCACCAAGCGUUGGAAGAAGAGGAAGUCCACCUCUCAGCCUGGAUCAAGAGGCAAGGUGCUGAAGAUAUAUAAGAAGGUAAAAAGACCACUCCAUGUGAGUUCAAGAAAAAAAUACUCUACUAAAGUUAUAACUACUUCAAGAAAGCAGAAGAGAGCGAGAAGGGGCAAGUUUCAGCCAAUCCUGUAGACUGAGCCAGAAGCAGCCAGGCCAGGUCCAGCGGUCUCUGUAGAACUAUACACCACUUUGAGAUAAGACUCAAGCAAAGAGCACCUGCAGAGCAAGCUUCACAGACUUCAGACAAUCUGCCGUAUCUAAAAUCCUGGCUGCGGAGAGAUGGCCAACUGCAUAGAGACUGGCUCAGACACUGAUGUCGAACAUGGAACACAAAUGGUGGUUAUUUAAAAACAAAAACAAGGUGUAAGAAGCCCCUUGAAAAAAAUGAAAUAAAAUUAGGCACUCUGCACAGAAA